GGAAUUCGAUUACCGCGAAGAACCUUACCAAGGCUUGACAUACACCGGAAACUUCCAGAGAUGGUUGCCCCGCAAGGUCGGUGUACAGGUGGUGCAUGGUUGUCGUCAGCUCGUGUCGUGAGAUGUUGGGUUAAGUCCCGCAACGAGCGCAACCCUCGUCCUAUGUUGCCAGCGGGUCAUGCCGGGGACUCAUAGGAGACUGCCGGGGUCAACUCGGAGGAAGGUGGGGAUGACGUCAAAUCAUCAUGUCCCUUAUGUCUUGGGCUUCACGCAUGCUACAAUGGCCGGUACAAAGGGCUGCGAUACCGCGAGGUGGAGCGAAUCCCAAAAAGCCGGUCUCAGUUCGGAUUGGGGUCUGCAACUCGACCCCAUGAAGUCGGAGUCGCUAGUAAUCGCAGAUCAGCAACGCUGCGGUGAAUACGUUCCCGGGCCUUGUACACACCG
rnacentral:rRNA from 1 species